UACGGGGGGGGCAAGCGUUGUUCGGAAUUACUGGGCGUAAAGGGCUCGUAGGCGGCCAACUAAGUCAGACGUGAAAUCCCUCGGCUUAACCGGGGAACUGCGUCUGAUACUGGAUGGCUAGAGGUUGGGAGAGGGAUGCGGAAUUCCAGGUGUAGCGGUGAAAUGCGUAGAUAUCUGGAGGAACACCGGUGGCGAAGGCGGCAUCCUGGACCAAUUCUGACGCUCAUGCACGAAAGCGUGGGGAGCAAACAGG
rnacentral:rRNA from 1 species